ACUAAAACCCGUUUUGGUUCUCACAGUCCUGUCUCACACGACUUGACUUCCGUGACUCUUCCUCCUCCAUUACGUUCUCCUGUGCCUCCUCCGUUCCCAUUCUAGAUUUGUGGUUUCUGCUGGGCUCGCCGGCGGCGACCACCUAAGAGCCAGCCCCACUGCUCACCAUUGGCGCAGGGGCCAUGGGAUUGGGGCGCUGCUCGUCGCCUCGCUGGGGGCGGAGGCGGAAGGGGCGGCUCGUGGUCAACACUUCACCGGCGACGUCGAGGAAGCCCAUGUGGGCAGGUAGCAGCGCAAGCAAGUCCUUGUGGGUACUAGGGUUUCGGCCUAAUUUUGUGCAAGUCCUUGAUUUAUGGUUCGAUUCGUCGAUGCGUGUUCUGAUUUUUGGUUCGAUUCGAGUCUAUUUUUUUCUGGGAUUGCAGGAGUGUAGUUGAGGAGUUGAGAAAGGGAGAACUCAGGUUGGUGGGUUGAUGAAAAACUUGCCAUCUAUUGCAGCACUGACAGCCGAGUGUGAUGUUGAGAUCAGAAAAGCUGCUCUAAAUACACUUGCAACUACCUACAAAAACCUUGUCCGUUGAAGGAAUGAAAGUCAUAUGCCAUGAGCUAACCCAGGCAGCUGAUCCUGAAAGCACGAUGCUUGAAGAUCUAAUUAAGGAAGCUGACAGAUUAGCUUCAUGCUUGGCAGUUAUGACGUUUCAGAUGAAACAUCUUGCUCAAACAGUGAAGGAGGGUACCCUAGACAACCUUAUUACGGAGUUAUUUCUUUGGCUUUUAGAUUAUAGAGUUCCUCUUAUGGAUGAUGGCAGUCAAUUACUCAAAGCGCUAAAUGUUUUAAUGCUUAAGAUCCUGGAUAAUGCUUAAAGAGCAUCCUCGUUUGUUGUGAUACAAGGCUUUUCCCUGAGGUUCAUUGAAGGUGUGAUAGGACUGACAGAAGUGGAAGCAUUCUUCCAGGCUAGUGAUUUUGGUGUCACACUAUGAUUGGGUACAAUAUAGUUUAUGCUUCUGUAAGCAGUUGUUGAUCUGGAAUUAUCUUGUGCUUUGCUUGUGCUGCAGGAACUGUAGUUGACCAUUUGUCAUCCUACUGAGUUUGAUUUCUACAUGUGUAGUCAUGUUGGUAUUCAAGAACAAGUUGGCCCAUCCAUUACCAUGUCCUUUAUGAUGAGAAUCAUUUUACUGCUGACGGCCUACAGUCACUGAUCAACAGUCUUUGCUACACAAAAUGAUUAAUGGAGGAACUAUUGAUACCUAGACUUGUUUGAAUUUUUCACGCAUGCGCCCUGAGGAGGAGAGCUGCGCAUCUUUGUAUUAAGAGAGGAAAAAGAAUGGUCCAAUUACAAAUCUCAGCACCACACCUUGGACCAGAGUGAGGGCUGUAGUGGUCUCAUAGGAACAAAACUACAGAAAAAAACACAUUGGAGGACCUGACCACAAAGCACCCCAUCUAACUAAGCCAAAGCGAGCGCCCUGUUUUCCAAGGCAGCAAGCCCUUUUGCUCCACUGAACUGCCAAAGCUGAGCUUCAUCCUUGUAGCUCUGCAGUGCUUGCUGCAAAUUUGGGGCUGCCCCCUCAAAUACACAUCCAUUCCUGUGUUUCCACAAAAUCCAAGCACCGAGAAUGCACAGCGAGUUGAAGCCUUUCUUAAGAUGCUUUGGAACUUUCUUCCAAGAUCUCCUCCACCAAUCUGCGAAGGAACUGAUCCUGUGGCUGGGCGUCAAGUGGGCUAACUCCAGCGGCUGUAGGACAGCGAACCAGAACUGUCGAGCAAAUACACAGGAGCAAAGGAUGUGCUGGACUGUUUCAUCAGCUUGGUCGCAUAGGGGGCAUUGUUUUGGAUGAGGAAGGCCCCCUUUCUGCAAACGAUCCGCUGUCCAACAGCGGUUUCUAAUUGCCAACCACACAAAGGUCUUGCACUUGCUAGGAGCCCAUGAUUUCCAAAGCCUCUUCCAAGGUUCAAAGGUGACCGAGCCAAUAAAUAUUCCUCCAUUCUAGUAAUGAUGUUGUUGUAUCUUUCUUGAAUUUGUGUAGGUGGUGGCAUCAAUGGACUGGCUAGAAAUCAAAAUCACCAAGUACAGAUGUCUAGUUUUUAUCGUCUGUAACAAUCGGUUGUAGGGCUUUUAUCGUCUAAUGACCAAUUUGUCAUUUUGUAAAGCCCGUUAACAAGUAUACAAAGGCCCAACUUCAGCUAACAGAUUCUCAACUUAAAUCCCGUUAAUGUUGUUUUUAUAAUGUUUUUGAAUAUCAUAACUUAUUUGUUUU